rnacentral:rRNA from 1 species
GUACACUCCUACGGGAGGCAGCAGUGGGGAAUAUUGCACAAUGGGCGCAAGCCUGAUGCAGCCAUGCCGCGUGUGUGAAGAAGGCCUUCGGGUUGUAAAGCACUUUCAGCGGGGAGGAAGGCGAUACGGUUAAUAACCGUGUUGAUUGACGUUACCCGCAGAAGAAGCACCGGCUAACUCCGUGCCAGCAGCCGCGGUAAUACGGAGGGUGCAAGCGUUAAUCGGAAUUACUGGGCGUAAAGCGCACGCAGGCGGUCUGUCAAGUCGGAUGUGAAAUCCCCGGGCUCAACCUGGGAACUGCAUUCGAAACUGGCAGGCUUGAGUCUUGUAGAGGGGGGUAGAAUUCCAGGUGUAGCGGUGAAAUGCGUAGAGAUCUGGAGGAAUACCGGUGGCGAAGGCGGCCCCCUGGACAAAGACUGACGCUCAGGUGCGAAAGCGUGGGGAGCAAACAGGAUUAGAUACCCUUGUAGUCCC